ACUCAAAGGAAUUGACGGGGGCCCGCACAAGCGGUGGAGCAUGUGGUUCAAUUCGACGCAACGCGAAGAACCUUACCUGGGCUCGAAAUGUAGCUGACCGCCUCAGAGAUGAGGUUUUCCCGCAAGGGACGGCUGCAUAGGUGCUGCAUGGCUGUCGUCAGCUCGUGUCGUGAGAUGUUGGGUUAAGUCCCGCAACGAGCGCAACCCUCACCGUUAGUUGCUCGCCCGCAAGGGAAGCACCCUAACGGAACUGCCUCAGAUAAUGGGGAGGAAGGUGGGGAUGACGUCAAGUCCUCAUGGCCUUUAUGUCCAGGGCUACACACGUGCUACAAUGGCCGGUACAAAGCGUCGCGAACCCGCGAGGGGGAGCCAAUCGCAAAAAGCCGGUCUCAGUUCGGAUUGCAGGCUGCAACUCGCCUGCAUGAAGCCGGAAUCGCUAGUAAUCGCGUAUCAGAACGAUGCGGUGAAUACGUUCCCGGGCCUUGUACACACCGCCCGU
rnacentral:rRNA from 1 species